AUGAAAAAAAAUGGCUACAAACUCUUGUGUUUACUCAAUCCACCACCACCAACAGCACCACCAAAAACUUCACCAACAACACCAACCAUUGAAGCAACAGCAUCAACAGCACCGACCAUUGAAGCAACACCAUCAACAGCACCGACCAUCGAAGCAACACCAUCAACAGCACCGACCAUCGAAGCAACACCAUCAACACCACCGACCAUCGAAGCAACACCAUCAACACCACUGACCAUCGAAGCAACACCAUUAACACCACUGCCAACAGCACCGACCAUCGAAGCAACACCAUCAACACCACUGCCAACAGCACCGACCAUCGAAGCAACACCAUCAACACCACUGUCAACAGCACCGACCAUCGAAGCAACACCAUCAACAGCACCAGCCAUCGAAGCAACACCGACCAUUGAAGCAACAACAAAAAACCCAAGCACAGCAUCAACAACAAAAACAACAUCGUCAACAACAAGUACAACCGCAGCAUCAUCCCUGGUGAAUUCACAGCAGAAGAGUUGUUCAGAGAAAGAAAUAUCUUCAGAAAAAGAAACGGGAAGUGACAUCCAAACGAUUUCAAUAGUUCUUAUCACGACGAACAUCAUUGUCCCCAUAGCUGUUUAUCUGUACAUGCGUUACCAGAUUCAACAGAUUCGAAACUUGAGGGAAGAAGAAGGAAUGACAGAGAUACAGCAAAACCCAUUUCCCACAGAUGUUGAAGAGGGUUCCAAUUGAUUAAUGACGCCCGAGAGUUCCAUCAUCAUAAAUUCACCUGAAAACACCAUAAUUUAAAGCCCUUGCCCAAAUAGAACACACCAUUUGAAGUUCUGAACUGCUAAGAAUCUGGAUAAAUCUGGAUACGAGGAUCUGCCUGACACAGCUUCGUAACAGUCCAGGUGAAGUAAAGGUGGUCUGUGAAGGCCUCUGCGCCCAAAGGUGGAUAAGCUUCCAAUGUGAAGAAGAGUGAGACCAAACAAGCCGCAGCAUGCCUGUUCAUGUAACUGCUCUGCAGUCGCACAUCAAGAUGGUUUUCUGUCCGCCUCAUGCAAAAAGUUUUACUGCUGUGCUGGUUAUAAGUGACCAAGGUCUUGCCAGAAGAAGUGCACUGCAGAAAGUCCAUUUAACACGAGCAAUAACGAGUUGGUUUUUGGUCAUAUUUAGAAUAAUUUUAAACACAAAGACACACAUUAUGCAUGUAGUCAGUGAACAUAUAUAUAUGUGUGUGUGUGUGUUAAAGUGUUCAACUGUGCAAAAAAGAAAAAAAGUUACGUUUUUAUGGCUAAUGGACUAAUUGCCUAUGUUCAUGUGUACAUAUUUGGGAAAAGGUUUGGUGGCUUUUUUUCUUUUCUUUGUAUGUAUUAAGUAUGUGAUAAAGCUUCAGCUGAAAAGCUAAAGGUGCCUAAAAAAAUUUGAAUAUUAUAUAUUUUUUUAUUGCACAAUGCACAUUAAGCUAAGCCACCAUAAGAAAAUUGAACUUUUACCUUUUUCCAAAUUAAAGCAAGCUGUGCGAGCUUUACCUCUAAAAUGUGAUCUUGUCAGUUGUUCUAGAUACAGUCUUCACACAUGCAUUUGUGUUUGUGUUUCAUGGAAGUAGAAAUAGAAAAUUCCCUACCACAAUGCUUUUAUUAUUUUCAUAAAUCACUGCAAAAACAAACAGAUGUGAAAAAAGCUGUCUUCUCUGCACUUUCUCAUUAUCAUACUGUCACGUUAUUUCAAUCUUAUAUAUGUCUAAUUAUCCCAAAAUAACAUCUUGUCUGUCCGUCACAUAUGAAAGACUGUAGACAUGGUUCUGUGUUUUCAGUGUUUGGCUUUUGAUGCAUUUGUGGAAUAUAUUUUAGUUUUUUUUAUGUAAAAAAAUAUAUUUUUAUAUAUUUUUUAAGCCAGCGAGUUUAUUUAUUGUGUUUGUAAUAGAGUCUGAGUAGGAGUAUUUUUUUUUUUUUUUUUUUGGAAUGUGUAGAUGUGAGUUUAGACAAGCAUCUAUGAUUCCCAUACAUACUCCUUGGUGUGGAACAAAAAUGUCCAGACUGAAAAGAGAAAAAUGUACGCAGAUAAUGGAGUCAUUGGUUGGCACAACUGUUAGAAAAGACCCGGUGAACAUAUCUGAACACAGGAGCCAGACUUGUAAAGUGUAUAAAAAGCUGUAUUUAAAACCAACAAAUAAAUAAGAAAUGAAUAAAAAAACAAAAAUCAAAUAAAAACAUUUAUUUAAAACAGUCACAUUAAGCAAUCAUCUACACAGUUUUACCAUCUGCAUGUCACAUUUUCAUUUGACUGUACUGGACUCUUUGACAAACUGGUUUUGUCUGUUUGCCACCAGUUCAUUUGAAGGUGAUGUGUAUAGAUGUAUAUAUGUCUGACAUACAAAAUAUAUAUAACUUUGCUCCAUUAUAAUCCCAGUGUUGGAUACUGGGAGUACCCGCUUGUGGAAGGAAGAUAUUGUGGCAGCAUUUCAUGUUAACAGGAACCUGAGCAGCUGAGCUAAUGCUGACCUCUGCUUGUCAGUCCUUUUUUUUCUUGGUAUUGUCUGUAUUUUGUAUAAUAUGAAACAAAUAUAUACAUUUGCCAGAUAAAAACACUGUGUUGAAUUGCUGAGAUAAAUAUACAGUUUGUUUUCAUGGUAUUUGUGGAAGAACACUCCAGGGAAAUGUUAAUGUAAAUUAACCUACAAUGUAUCCCUAUCCCAGUGUUUGCAGGUCAUCUGGAUUUUUCUUUCCAGAUGUUUAUUUCACAGAUGUCUUUUCUUGUGCCUGGUUUUUGUAAAUAAAUGACCUUUUCUGCUUUAAAAACUUUCCUUUUGUGUUGUACUGGAGGAGAAUGGUGAAGCGGUGCAGCGAUGCAGCUUUUCAGGAAUGGAGACAUCGUUACAGUUAUUUUUAUGGUACAAAAUGGCGAGAGCACAAUGGCACAGUGGAAACUGUCCGGUACAGAAACAACCACAUUAUAACUGCUAACAAAACUCCUUGCAAAGGAUCUGCAUUGACCGCAGGUUAACACAAAGUUAGAUAAGAACCCAGAGUAAUGAUAACACUGAAUAACCCCAGCCCCACAGCCAGACCCUGUUGUUUACUGGUGAUUUAAUGAGCUCGACUCCCAUCACAUUCUAGAACACAAAUAAGGC
rnacentral:lncRNA from 1 species